rnacentral:misc_RNA from 1 species
AACUUUCGGCAAUGGAUCACUUGGCUCUCGCAUCGAUGAAGAACGCAGCGAAAUGCGAAAAGUAAUGUGAAUUGCAGAAUUCAGUGAAUCAUCGAAUCUUUGAACGCACCUUGCGCUCCUUGGUAUUCCGAGGAGCAUGCCUGUUUGAGUGUCAUUAAAUUCUCAAUCCCUCUUUCUUUCUUGGAAAGAGGCUUUGGAUUUGGAGUGUUGCUGGCUUUUUUGUUGGCUUCUCUUAAAUGCAUUAGCUUGAUAUUCUUUUGUGGAUAGGCUUUGGUUUGAUAAUAUCUAUGCCAUUGCUGUGAAACAAAUGUUCAGCUUCUAAUUGUCCUCUUCUUUGGACAACUCUUUGAUAUUUUGACCUCAAAUCAGGUAGGACUACCCGCUGAACUUAAGCAUAUCAAUAAGCGGAGGCU